rnacentral:rRNA from 1 species
GUGCCAGCAGCCGCGGUAAUACGUAGGGUGCAAGCGUUAAUCGGAAUUACUGGGCGUAAAGCGUGCGCAGGCGGUUUUGUAAGUCUGUCGUGAAAUCCCCGGGUUCAACCUGGGAAUUGCGAUGGAGACUGCAAGGCUAGAAUCUGGCAGAGGGGGGUAGAAUUCCACGUGUAGCAGUGAAAUGCGUAGAGAUGUGGAGGAACACCGAUGGCGAAGGCAGCCCCCUGGGUCAAGAUUGACGCUCAUGCUCGAAAGCGUGGGGAGCAAACAGGAUUAGAAACCCGUGUAGUCC